AAAGAUAAUGAAGUGGAAGGGUUACACUAACAAACACCAGUUCACACCUAUAAACAACUGACUAGUCUCUCAGACAACACCAGACUUGUUACUUGACCAGAUUGGGUGUGCCAUUUAUCCAGUGUUUGGGAUCCUUUACUGAAGCAUUAAGUAAGCAUGUCAGAGGAUCUCUUGAAAGCUGGUAUUUUGUGAUGAGAUGGAUCUCUAAUUUCUUCCCCAGACCAUCUAAUUCCUGAAUACAACCACCACAUGUGCAAGGUAAAGACACGUGCAGAGGGCCUCUGCUAUGGAACACCUCAUGCCAGAAAGAUGGAUGAGUCCUCCCCUUCCUCCUUUUAGAGGAAAAUUGCAUAUAUGAAGAGGUUUUGGGGUGUGCCUAUACCUCUAGGAGGACAAAGUGGGUGAGCCAGGGCUGCUGCAUCCCAGGGAGACUUUGCUCCCCAGAGAGGGAAGACAGUGUUCCUCCACAAGAAAGCUGCUUUAGUCUCUGCCAGGAGCACUCUCAUAAUCCUGCCAGUGGAUCCUGCACUGGGGAUGUAGUGAGCAGCUGCUACUCCCCGCCAUGCAGACUCUCCACUGUUAGGAGCACUCUGCCAGUUUUUUGUUGGCUUCCACCAUUGC